UCGCCUGUUUAUCAAAAACAUGUCUUUUUGAGUUAUUUUUAAAGUCUGACCUGCCCACUGAAAUUUUUAAAUGGCCGCAGUAUUCUAACUGUGCAAAGGUAGCAUAAUCAUUAGUCUUUUAAUUGAAGGCUGGUAUGAACGGUUGGACGAGGUAUAAGCUGUUUCAUAUAAAUUUAUAAUAGAAUUUUAUAUUUUAGUCAAAAAGCUAAAAUAUUAUUAAAAGACGAGAAGACCCUAUAAAUCUUUAUAUUUUUUUUUAUUUAAAUUUUUUGGAUUUAUUUUAUUUUUAUAAUGGAGAAUAUUUUGUUGGGGUGAUGUUAAAAUUUAAUGAACUUUUAAUUAUAAAAAUCAUUAAUUUAUGAGUUAUUGAUCCAUUAGUAGUGAUUAUAAGAUUAAGUUACUUUAGGGAUAACAGCGUAAUUUUUUUGGAGAGUUCAUAUCGAUAAAAAAGUUUGCGACCUCGAUGUUGGAUUAAGAUAUAAUUUUAGGUGUAGCCGCUUAAAUGCUAAGUCUUUUUCGGCAAAC
rnacentral:rRNA from 1 species